GUCUACGGCCAUGCCACCCUGAAUGUGCCCAAUCUCGUCUGAUCUUGAAAGCUAAGCAGGGGCGGGCCUGGUUAGUACUUGGAUGGGAGACCACCUAAGAAGACCAGGUGCUGUAGGCA
rnacentral:rRNA from 1 species